rnacentral:rRNA from 1 species
UACAGAGGUCUCAAGCGUUGUUCGGAUUCAUUGGGCGUAAAGGGUGUGUAGGCGGCGCGGUAAGUCGGGUGUGAAAUCUCGGAGCUUAACUCCGAAACUGCAUUCGAUACUGCCGUGCUUGAGGACUGGAGAGGAGACUGGAAUUUACGGUGUAGCGGUGAAAUGCGUAGAUAUCGUAAGGAACACCUGCGGCGAAGGCGGGUUGCUGGGCUGAUACUGACGCUGAGGCGCGAAAGCCAGGGGAGCGAACGGG